GCCCAAUGGACACAGGAAACAAUAAAACAUCAUUAUUCUUUUUUUUAACCCAAACAAGAUAGAGUUUCACAAAUCCGGGAGUCGCCAUUUGUGCCAAAUUCAGAAAUUCCAAUUGUCGGCCAUCCCUGCCAUCUAGUGUUCACUGGUGAAUUUACAGAGAAAUUUGCAGCCCAUUCUAAGUCCCAGAACCCAGACUCAGGAAGAGAAACAACAAUCUUAAAAGUAGUCGUGAGAGUAAUGGAAACUCACAUUUACAAGAUUCUUCGAUAGAUACAGAAAGUUUUGUGUCGGGUUUUUUGUUUGUUUGUUUUAGCGCAUCCUCUAUGGGAAUAGCUGACAUUUCUACAGAGCUUUAAGGGCAAGCCAUGAUUAGGAUGAAAGAGACUGCAAAUGCUCUCUAUUCCAAUUUACAAACAAGAAAACUGAGUCCAGUGAAGUGAAUUGAUUUGCUCAAGAUUACACAGCCGGGAAUCAUGGGAUCAGAGGUCGAAGUGAUCUCAGUGGCCGGCUAUUCCCAGCUGCCCCCAUUUUAUAGACAAGAAAACCAAGGAGCAGAAACCUGACCAAGAUCACACAGAUGAUGAAUGUCAGAAUCCAAGUCCUCGCCCUCCAAGCAUUUACUCUUGCCAUUGGGCCAAUUUAGAAACCACUUUGCACAUACUGAGCUCGACAGAGCACAGAUGACCAGAGGACGGGGAGUCGAGUCCUGCCUUUUCUACUUCCUUCCUGGGUGGUCUUGGAGACCACUACUCUCCAAAGGCCCUUGUUACUUCUCACCCCGGUACUGCUACAGCUUUCAGCCUGGGCUCCUUUUCUCAAGUGAAGGUCUGACGUUUAAAAUAAUGUUUAAAAUGAAUGGAUGCCCAUCAAUUGGAGAAUGGUUGAGUAAAUCGUGGUACAUGAACGUUAAAAUAAUGUUUAAUUUUUUUCUAAUUUUGUGUAAAAACAUUAUAAACAUUCAUUUGGGUUUUU